rnacentral:rRNA from 1 species
CCUACGGGAGGCUGCAGUGGGGAAUAUUGCACAAUGGGGGAAACCCUGAUGCAGCGACGCCGCGUGAGUGAAGAAGUAAUUCGGUAUGUAAAGCUCUAUCAGCAGGGAAGAAAAUGACGGUACCUGAGUAAGAAGCCCCGGCUAACUACGUGCCAGCAGCCGCGGUAAUACGUAGGGGGCAAGCGUUAUCCGGAUUGACUGGGUGUAAAGGGAGCGUAGACGGCAGUGCAAGUCUGGAGUGAAAGGCGGGGGCUCAACCCCCGGAUUGCUCUGGAAACUGUACGGCUGGAGUGCAGGAGAGGUAAGUGGAAUUCCUAGUGUAGCGGUGAAAUGCGUAGAUAUUAGGAGGAACACCAGUGGCGAAGGCGGCUUACUGGACUGUAACUGACGUUGAGGCUCGAAAGCGUGGGGAGCAAACAGGAUUAGAUACCCGAGUAGUC